rnacentral:rRNA from 1 species
AUGCGCAUGUUGAGAUGGAUGUGUGGCCACACAAGGAAGGACCGAGUCCGGAAUGAUGAUAUACGAGAUAGAGUUGGGGUAGCGCCGAUUGAAGAGAAGCUUGUCCAACAUUGUCUGAAACAUUUUGGUGUUAGAAUCACUAAAUCAAAGGAGCUGGUUAUUUUCUUUUAUGCACAUCAUAAAACAUUGUCCUUGACAAGGUCUUAUACAAAAGAGAGAGACAUUGUGAGACCAGGAGUGACAAGAUUUGCUUCAGCAUUUGUUACUUUGCAAAGUUCGGUUGCUAAGAAGGAAUUAAGAGCAAUGGUUUGUAGUGAUGCUUGGGAAGAAUGCAAGCACACAAGAACAAAGAAAGGAAAGUUAACUCAUGCCACAAUCAUGAGUAGGGGCUAUUGGGAAAAUGUCUCUUUGCCUCAAGGAUAUUGGCAUCGGUUACGAGAGAUAUAA